rnacentral:rRNA from 1 species
UUCGCUAGAGAUAGCUUAGUGCCUUCGGGAACUCUGAGACAGGUGCUGCAUGGCUGUCGUCAGCUCGUGUUGUGAAAUGUUGGGUUAAGUCCCGCAACGAGCGCAACCCUUAUCCUUUGUUGCCAGCGAGUAAUGUCGGGAACUCAAAGGAGACUGCCGGUGAUAAACCGGAGGAAGGUGGGGAUGACGUCAAGUCAUCAUGGCCCUUACGAGUAGGGCUACACACGUGCUACAAUGGCAUAUACAAAGAGAAGCGAACUCGCGAGAGCAAGCGGACCUCAUAAAGUAUGUCGUAGUCCGGAUUGGAGUCUGCAACUCGACUCCAUGAAGUCGGAAUCGCUAGUAAUCGUAGAUCAGAAUGCUACGGUGAAUACGUUCCCGGGCCUUGUACACACCGCCCGUCACACCAUGGGAGUGGGUUGCAAAAGAAGUAGGUAGCUUAACCUUCGGGAGGGCGCUUACCACUUUGUGAUUCAUGACUGGGGUGAAGUCGUAACAAGGUAACCGUAGGGGAACCUGCGGUUGGAUCACCUCCUUACCUAAAGA